UACGUAGGGGGCAAGCGUUUGUCCGGAUUUAUUGGGCGUAAAGAGCGUGUAGGCGGUUAUACAGGUCCGCUGUGAAAACUGGAGGCUUAACCUCCAGACGUCGGUGGAAACCGUAUGACUAGAGUCCGGAAGAGGAGAGUGGAAUUCCUGGUGUAGCGGUGAAAUGCGCAGAUAUCGGGAAGAACACCCGUGGCGAAGGCGGCUCUCUGGGACGGUACUGACGCUGAGACGCGAAAGCGUGGGGAGCGAACAGG
rnacentral:rRNA from 1 species